rnacentral:rRNA from 1 species
CGAACGCUGGCGGCGUGCUUACCACAUGCAAGUCGAACGGAAAGGCCCCUUUGGGGGUACUCGAGUGGCGAACGGGUGAGUAACACGUGAGUAACCUGCCCUUGACUUCGGGAUAACUUCAGGAAACUGGGGCUAAUACCGGAUAGGAAUCCUUGCUGCAUGGUGGGGGUUGGAAAGCUUCGGCGGUUUUGGAUGGACUCGCGGCUUAUCAGCUUGUUGGUGGGGUAGUGGCUUACCAAGGCUUUGACGGGUAGCCGGCCUGAGAGGGCGACCGGCCACAUUGGGACUGAGAUACGGCCCAGACUCCUACGGGAGGCAGCAGUGGGGAAUAUUGCACAAGGGGCGGAAGCCUGAUGCAGCAACGCCGCGUGCGGGAUGACGGCCUUCGGGUUGUAAACCGCUUUCAGCAGGGGCGAAGCUUGUGGUGACGGUACCUGCAGAAGAAGCACCGGCUAACUACGUG